rnacentral:lncRNA from 10 species
GGCUUCGGUGGAGAGUGAACAAAAUCAGAGCUUUCUUCACAAAGGAAAAGAGUGAGGAAUGAAUGAAGUUGACAACCCAGUGACAUCUGCAAUUCCCUUGUGACUUUUUACUUGCCAGACUCACUCUUCUCCUAAGUAGCACAAAGGAAUUGUUGCUUACGGUAGAUCUAGGUAAAAACUGGCUGGAUUUUUGGAGGAGUUACCAGGUCAUCUGUAGCUGGCCUUUCUCUAUGCAGACCCAAUACCACCUAGAUCCUUCUGCUCACCGUGGGCUAGUGCUGUGAAUUCAUUCAUUCACUCAUGGAAGCAUGUUGAUUUCUAUCACCUACCAGCCCAUCAAGUAGGUGCUAGGGAUAUAGCAAAUAAGCCACAGAUCCUAUCCUCAAGUGCCUCUGUUAUUGCUCAGUCUCAUUUGUUUUUUCUUCCAAAAUAUGAGAUAGGCAGAGAAGAUGUUCCUUUUGUACAGAAAAUGAUAUUGAGUUAUGAAUUAGCAAUGUGAUAUUCCUGCUAACACAGAAGCUCACCUCAGAAAGAAAUGGUCAGAAAUGUAAACAGCCAACUCUAAGCCUAAUUCUCAUUCCAGUCAGCUGCAGACCAUGACCCCACUAGAGACCUAUUCCAUGGGACAAGGUAGCAAAUGAGGCAAAACACUAGUGCCUGUGUUCUCCAUUCCCCAAACCAGCAUUUUCCAGAAUGUGUUUCUAUGAGAUGUUCCUAGGAAGAAAAGAGUUCCAUGGUCAGAUAAUUUUGUGACCUAUUAGCCCUGCCCUCUCUCGGAGAGUCACAAUUUGCUUCAAUGCACUGAAGUCUCUGAGGAGUCCUAAAGUAUGUAAGUGGUUUAUUUCAGCUGGUUAAAAUUUUAAUCACUCACAAGGCUGGAUGUGGUGGCUCACGCUUGUAAUCUCAGCACUUUGGGAGGCCAAGGUGGGUGGAUCACCUGAAGUCAGGAGUUCAAGACCUGCCUGGCCAACAUAGUGAAACCCCAUCUCUAUUAAAAAUACAAAAAAAGAGAGUUGGGUGUGGUGGUGGGUGCUUGUAAUCUCAGCUACUUUGGGAGGCUGAGGCAGGAGAAUUGCUUGAACCCGGGUGGCAGAGGUUGCAGUGAGCCAAGAUCGUGCUGUUGCACUCCAGCCUGGGCAACAAGAGCGAAACUCUGUCUAAAAAAAAAUUAAAAAGAAAAUCACUCAUAAAACACUUUUUCAUUGCAAAACCCCUCCCAACAUAAUUCAUUCAUUAAGUAAUUAUUGAGUAUCCACUAUGUGGCAUGCACUACAUAGUUUUGAGCAAAACAAACACGGUCCCUACCCUCCAUGGACUUUAUAAAGUAGUGGAACUAAAUUCCGUAUCACCAAGAACAGUGCUCACUGGGGUAAUAACUACUAACAUAAAAAGUCAUGGUUGACUUGAGUGUUUUUGUAGCUAAUUACUUAAGUUGAUCUCCACAGGUAUGGUCAUCAACCCAUCCAUGGUGACACAAAUGAGAAUCAAGUUCAGGACUAUCUUCCUGAGAUUAUUAGUAUCUACAUGAACCAUAUGUUUCCAAAUAUCCUUUGAUGUAUUAGCCCAAUUUAGAUGCAAUAACAAAGAGCGCCAAAAUCCCAGUGGCUUAAAAAAACAAUUUCUUUCUAGCUCAUGUUGCAUGUGGAUGGCUGCAGCUCAGCAGCUGUAGAAUCUGCACCACCUGUCUUAUGCUGAGAUCCAGCCUGGAGGAACACCCCUCUGUGGAAUGUGGCACUCUCUUGGCAGAAAGAGCAAGAAAGCAGGCAGAAACUCAUGAAGACUCUUAAAGGCUUCUGCUUGGGCACGGGGUAUGUUUCAUCUACUCACAGUCCACUGGCCAACACAAGUCACAUGGUCAAACCCCAAGUCCAUCCGUGAGUCAGGAGUUGUAUCCUCCUCCCUCCUAUGGGAGACACUGCAAGUCACAUGACAUUACAGGGAAAGGGGUCACGUGUAGUCCUCUUAAAAGGAAGGGACAGGCCGUCCGGGAGGUGAGGGGCGCCUCUGCCCGGCCGCCCCUACUGGGAAGUGAGGACCCCUCUGCCAGGCCAGCCGCCCCGUCCGGGAGGGAGGUGGGGGGGACAGCCCCCCG